GUCCACACUGUAAACGAUGAAUGCUAGGUGUGGGGGUGUAAACCUCCGUGCCGCAGUUAACACAAUAAGCAUUCCACCUGGGGAGUACGGCCGCAAGGUUGAAACUCAAAGGAAUUGACGGGAGCCCGCACAAGCAGUGGAGUAUGUGGUUUAAUUCGACGCAACGCGAAGAACCUUACCAGGAUUUGACAUGCCAAGAUCCCUACGUAAUGGCUGGGAUACCUCAAAGCUUCGGCCGCGAGGAUGGACACAGGUGGUGCAUGGUUGUCGU
rnacentral:rRNA from 1 species